rnacentral:rRNA from 1 species
AUUAUUUGAAAUGAAAUGUUAUUCGUUUAUAAAGAUAUCUAGUUUUUUUAGAAAUAAAUUUAAUUUAAAAGUUUUUAAUUUUAUUAAUUAAUUGUGUUAAUUAAUAAAUUUAUAAAUUUAAAUAUUUUAAGGGAUAAGCUUUAGAAUAAAUUUUUAUAAAUUAAUAAAUGGUAAUUAAAAUUAUAUGCAUAGAAUUAGUAAUUAUUAAAAAUUUUGUUAUAAAUUAUUUUAUAAAAUAUAUUAUUUAUUAUAAUUUUAAAUUUUUAUAAAAAUAUUUUUUUUAAUUUAAUUUGAAAAUUAAUAAUGAUAAAAUUAGUAUAUUUAUAUUAUGUAAAUAUAAUUUAUUUUGAUAAGUUUAUAUAAAGAACUCGGCAAAUAUUUUACUCGCCUGUUUAACAAAAACAUGUCUUUUUGUGUUAUUUUUAAAGUCUGACCUGCCCAAUGAAUAAUUUAAUGGCCGCAGUAUUUUGACUGUGCAAAGGUAGCAUAAUCAUUAGUCUUUUAAUUGAAGGCUUGAAUGAAUGGUUGGACGAAGUAUAAUCUGUUUCAUUUAAAUUUAUUAUAGAAUUUUAUAUUUUAGUAAAAAAGCUAAAAUAUUUUUAAAAGACGAGAAGACCCUAUAAAUCUUUAUAAUUUUUUUUAUUUUUAUUUUUUAUAUUUAUUUUAUUUAAAUAAUUUGAAUUAUUUUGUUGGGGUGAUAUUAAAAUUUAAUAAACUUUUAAUUUAAUUAUUUCAUUAAUUUAUGUUUUAUUGAUCCGUUAAUAAUGAUUAAAAGAAUAAGUUACUUUAGGGAUAACAGCGUAAUUUUUUUGGAGAGUUCUUAUUGAUAAAAAAGUUUGCGACCUCGAUGUUGGAUUAAGAUAUAAUUUUAGGUGUA